CCUACUUACACCAAAGCCGAACAGGGAAACAGAAUCAACCGCCCCGACGCUUUCAGGCGGUCGGGAAGAUCGGGAGAAUUAUUAGAAACUGGCGUCGGCAGGAUCGGGAGAGAGAGAGAGGGGUAAGCAGUACACUGGAAGGAAGAAAUAGGUAGAUGAAAUAAGAGCAGCAGAAUGUUGAUAACUGUGGAAAAUGAGUGAUGAAAAUGUUAUUCUUAAAAAUACAGCUAAAGAGGACAGAGCUGCCCUAGCUGGUUUGGCUCACUGGAUAGAGCAUCGGCCUGGGGACUGAAGGGUCCCAGGGGCAUGUACCUUGGUUGCAGACACAUCCCCAGUAGGGGAUGUGCGGGAGGCAGCUGAUCGAUGCUUCUCUCUCAUCGAUGUUUCUAGCACUCUAUCCCUCUCCCUUCCUCUCUGUAAAAAAGCAAUAAAAUAUAUAUUUUUUUUUAAAAAAAAGAGGACAGAGCUGGGUUUGAUUUGUGAUAAGAUUUCAAUACAUGCACUUAUUAUUUUAGGCUAAUUUUCCCAACCCCCAACUUUUGUGACACUGCCCUAUUACCACACAGUGCCAAAAAUCAAAUAAACACAUUAGUACAAUAUUUGGAAUCAUUAUUAGCCGUAUCUGGCAGUUACACUGUCCUAGGAUAGAAUGAACCACCUCAGUAGCUUCUGAGGCUAAUACAUUUCUAUCACCACAAUUACUUUAGCAAACCUGGUUGCCUUCAUUUCUGCAACAUCAUGCAGAGUUAGUGAUUCUUCUUUUUAUUCUUAAAUCAGAGGACUUGUGCCCUGGGUGGUGUUGCCAAGUGGUUAGGCCCACAAACCGAAGGGUUGCAGGUUCGAUCCCCAGUUGAGGCUUGUGUGAGAGGCAACCAAUCCAUGUGUCUCUCUCACAUGGAUGUUUCUCUCUCUCUCUCUCUCUCUCUC